GUGAUGACGAGGCACUACGGUGCUGAAGUGACAAAUGCCCUGCUUCCAGGAAAAGCCUCUAAGCAUCAGGUAACACGAAAUCGUACCCCAAACCGACACAGGUGGUCAGGUAGAGAAUACCAAGGCGCUUGAGAGAACUCGGGUGAAGGAACUAGGCAAAAUGGUGCCGUAACUUCGGGAGAAGGCACGCUGAUAGGUAGGUGAAGUGAUUUACUCAUGGAGCUGAAAUCAGUCGAAGAUACCAGCUGGCUGCAACUGUUUAUUAAAAACACAGCACUGUGCAAACACGAAAGUGGACGUAUACGGUGUGACGCCUGCCCGGUGCCGGAAGGUUAAUUGAUGGGGUUAUCCGUAAGGAGAAGCUCUUGAUCGAAGCCCCGGUAAACGGCGGCCGUAACUAUAACGGUCCUAAGGUAGCGAAAUUCCUUGUCGGGUAAGUUCCGACCUGCACGAAUGGCGUAAUGAUGGCCAGGCUGUCUCCACCCGAGACUCAGUGAAAUUGAACUCGCUGUGAAGAUGCAGUGUACCCGCGGCAAGACGGAAAGACCCCGUGAACCUUUACUAUAGCUUGACACUGAACACUGGUCCUUGAUGUGUAGGAUAGGUGGGAGGCUUUGAAGUGUGGACGCCAGUCUGCAUGGAGCCAUCCUUGAAAUACCACCCUUUAAUGGCUGGUGUUCUAACGUGGGCCCGUAAUCCGGGUUGCGGACAGUGUCUGGUGGGUAGUUUGACUGGGGCGGUCUCCUCCCAAAGAGUAACGGAGGAGCACGAAGGUUAGCUAAUCCUGGUCGGACAUCAGGAGGUUAGUGCAAAGGCAUAAGCUAGCUUGACUGCGAGAGUGACGGCUCGAGCAGGUGCGAAAGCAGGUCUUAGUGAUCCGGUGGUUCUGAAUGGAAGGGCCAUCGCUCAACGGAUAAAAGGUACUCCGGGGAUAACAGGCUGAUACCGCCCAAGAGUUCAUAUCGACGGCGGUGUUUGGCACCUCGAUGUCGGCUCAUCACAUCCUGGGGCUGAAGUAGGUCCCAAGGGUAUGGCUGUUCGCCAUUUAAAGUGGUACGCGAGCUGGGUUUAGAACGUCGUGAGACAGUUCGGUCCCUAUCUGCCGUGGGCGCUGGAGAAUUGAGGGGGGCUGCUCCUAGUACGAGAGGACCGGAGUGGACGCAUCACUGGUGUUCGGGUUGUCAUGCCAAUGGCACUGCCCGGUAGCUAAAUGCGGAAGAGAUAAGUGCUGAAAGCAUCUAAGCACGAAACUUGCCCCGAGAUGAGUUCUCCCUGAGACUUAAAGUCUCCUGAAGGAACGUUGAAGACGACGACGUUGAUAGGUCGGGUGUGUAAGUGUAGCGAUACAUUGAGCUAACCGAUACUAAUGAACCGUGAGGCUUAACCUU
rnacentral:rRNA from 1 species